GGGUGACGUGUCGGAUAUUGGGCGUAAAGGGCUCGCAGGCGGUUUCUUAAGUCUGAUGUGAAAGCCCCCGGCUCAACCGGGGAGGGUCAUUGGAAACUGGGAAACUUGAGUGCAGAAGAGGAGAGUGGAAUUCCACGUGUAGCGGUGAAAUGCGUAGAGAUGUGGAGGAACACCAGUGGCGAAGGCGACUCUCUGGUCUGUAACUGACGCUGAGGAGCGAAAGCGUGGGGAGCGAACAGGAUUAGAUACCCUGGUAGUCCACGCCGUAAACGAUGAGUGCUAAGUGUUAGGGGGUUUCCGCCCCUUAGUGCUGCAGCUAACGCAUUAAGCACUCCGCCUGGGGAGUACGGUCGCAAGACUGAAACUCAAAGGAAUUGACGGGGGCCCGCACAAGCGGUGGAGCAUGUGGUUUAAUUCGAAGCAACGCGAAGAACCUUACCAGGUCUUGACAUCCUCUGACAACCCUAGAGAUAGGGCUUUCCCUUCGGGGACAGAGUGACAGGUGGUGCAUGGUUGUCGUCAGCUCGUGUCGUGAGAUGUUGGGUUAAGUCCCGCAACGAGCGCAACCCUUGAUCUUAGUUGCCAGCAUUUAGUUGGGCACUCUAAGGUGACUGCCGGUGACAAACCGGAGGAAGGUGGGGAUGACGUCAAAUCAUCAUGCCCCUUAUGACCUGGGCUACACACGUGCUACAAUGGACAGAACAAAGGGCUGCGAGACCGCAAGGUUUAGCCAAUCCCAUAAAUCUGUUCUCAGUUCGGAUCGCAGUCUGCAACUCGACUGCGUGAAGCUGGAAUCGCUAGUAAUCGCGGAUCACCAUGCCGCGGGGGGAAAUCCGUUCCCGGGGCCUUGUACACACCGCCCGUCACACCACCGAGAGUUUGCAACACCCGAAGUCCGGUGAGGUAACCUUUAUGGAGCCAGCCGCCGAAGGUGGGGCAGAUGAUUGGGGUGAUUAGAAAAAAGGCCCCCCACACACACAACAAAAAAAAGAUAUAAUA
rnacentral:rRNA from 1 species